rnacentral:rRNA from 1 species
GACAGAGGUCCCGGGCGUUAGGCGGAAUCACUGGGCUUAAAGCGUGUGUAGGCGGAGUUCUAAGUACCUUGUGAAAUCCCACGGCUCAACCGUGGAACUGCUUGGUAUACUGGUUCUCUUGAGCCACCUAGGGGCAACCGGAACAAACGGUGGAGCGGUGAAAUGCGUAGAUAUCGUUUGGAACGCCAAUGGUGAAAACAGGUUGCUGGGGGUGUGCUGACGCUGAGACACGAAAGCCAGGGGAGCAAACGGG